GGGGAUGUAAAGGCUUCGACAGGGGCUUUGAAUAUGGUGAAGCUAUUCGUAUGCAAUGCGUUAAAUGGCAAAAUUAAAUAUAAACGCUGAAGAAAAUUUAGCAAUCGCUGCCUAGUUGCAGCUGUCUUAACUAGGACUCCUACAUCUUAGAUUAAGGCAUCGACUUAGUAGGGAACAUUAUCUGCAAAGCUUUGAGCAGGUAAUAGAUUUAUGAAGCUACCAAAUCCCGGAGAAUGUCAGUUUUCGCCGGGGUAAGGGAAUUAAUAAUAACUGACUAUAAUAGUAGAAGAACAUUGGAUGGGCUUUUGGACACGGGUUCGACUCCCGUCAUCUCCAUUU
rnacentral:tmRNA from 1 species